ensembl:misc_RNA 7SK 7SK RNA
GGAUGUGAGGGCGAUCUGGCUGCGACAUCUGUCACCCCAUUGACAGAAUUAAUUCAGCUGAUCCAGCUGGCUAUGCGGGUGUCCUCUUCCUCCCUCCCUGCUCCAUGUGCGUCCCUCCUGAAGCUGUGCACUCAGUGGAAGAAGAUGACCAUACCUGAUAUAGGAGGACCGGUCUUCGGUCAGGGGCAUAGCAGUAGCCGCGCUCCCCUGCUAGAACCUCCAAACAAGCUCUCAAAACUACUUUUGAAUGCACAUCCACAGAACUGAAGCUGCUAGAGAUAUAGAUGCUUUGGAGAAAAAUCCAAAUUUGGAGAUGGCAUCUUUUUCUAAAAUU